ensembl:lncRNA
AAGAGCCAUUCAGAGUGAAUUUACUAAAUCGUUCUGCAAGGAGGGAAUGAAAAGGUCUGCAUCACGCUGUUUGCUUUUCUGCACUGAAGGAUCUCACCGGGUCUGCAGCACAGGAGAAAGGCAGUGAGGGACAGAGGCGUGGAUGUGAGCACGAGGGAACAAGGAUCUCUGUGGGGCUGCAGGCUGCACGAUAUGAGGAGAAACAGAGAAAGCUCUGGAUUUUCAUUUAUUCCAACAGAAAGCAAACAAGUGUCAGAGUUAGUAAGAAUUGGACCUCAAAUCCCAUUAGACUUGGCCCCCUUUGAUGGAAUUUACACCCUUCUAUCAUGCAUUCUUCUUCUUCAUUCUUCUAAUUCAAAUUCUUCUUCAAGAUCGUAUCUGCUGGUGCAUUUUCAGACCUCUCCCAUGCGCGAUCUCCGUUAUCUGACUUUCAUUCUGCAAACUAGCAGUUCACUGUAUUUUCUUUCUUAUAAUUUAAACAAGGGGUCUCCAAGAUAUGGAGAGGCUAAUGUCACAAUUCUCAAAAGCAUGUCUGUAACUCUAUUUCUGGACUUAAUUCUAUAUUCAACACUCUUUUUUUAAUAUAUAUAUUUUGUCUUUGAUCCUGCUAAAGACUCUCACAAUGUAUUUUACUUGGCUGUGAAGAACCAUGCCCAUAUGUAGUGUUAAGGUUGAAACUACAGAGGUGUAGCUGUAGUGGGGCUGCAAAAGGGGCUCCCAAAGCAAACAGAGUUUGCCAAAAAGAGUUCUCUGAAGAAUAUUGAGUGUCUCAGUAGUGCCUGGCUCAUAGCUCAUUCUAGAGUUAGGAUUAGCUCUAACACUGAGAGAACAAGAAAUGCUGAUAUGCAGCUGGGAUGGGGCUGGCAAAGGAGAAAUAAGGCUGCCGAAAGAAUUCUUCUGGUAAUAGUAAGGGUCUGGACUGAGCCGUGUCACAAGCCUUUGGUUUAGGGCUAGUGCUGGUGGAGAGUAAAAGCCAGAGGUCCAGUGGGAGCUGAGCUGCCAAAGGACUGCAAGAACUUCAGAGAGAAAACUUCCCUGAAGAAUUGGUAGUCCAGGGAAGUGCUGCUCUGCUUUUCCGAGGGCUCAGUUUAGCAUUAGGGUUACAAUCGUUAAGUACCUCAGAGCUCCAAGCAGAGUGAUGCUGGAAAGAAGCUGCCAGAACAGAAAUAGUUUAGCCCAAAAAGGGAAUGUUUAGCCCCUGCAAGGGCUCUGGACUGCCCUUGGAGGGCUGGGAUUAGGGCUGGCAGCAUACGCUUCUGUAAUUUAUGCACACAAUAUUGUAUUUUAUGCUUAUCUGGCAUGUGAGCACCUUAAAGCAUGUAACAUAAUCCACACGCAAGAGAGAUGUAACUCCAAAGAGGUUAACAAAGGGGGAGAUUUAUCUCCUUGUUCAUGCUAGACUGCUGAGCCGUAAGGGAAGGGAGUGCAAAGGUCCUUAACCUUGUGACACCCUGAGAAGGGCAAGACUUAAAUUCACGGGCAGCGAGCGGCAGAGGUGACACGGGGGCCGUGAGGUGGGUGGGCUGGCACUUAAAGGUCACAUUGGUAUAACAUCCAUAUAUCCACAUAUCCGUACCCCGUU